rnacentral:rRNA from 1 species
GCAAUGGGCGAAAGCCUGACGGAGCAAUACCGCGUGAGGGAGGAAGGCUCUUGGGUCGUAAACCUCUUUUCUCAAGGAAGAAGAAAGUGACGGUACUUGAGGAAUAAGCAUCGGCUAACUCCGUGCCAGCAGCCGCGGUAAUACGGAGGAUGCAAGCGUUAUCCGGAAUGAUUGGGCGUAAAGGGUCUGCAGGUGGAACUGAAAGUCUGCUGUUAAAGAGUUUGGCUUAACCAAAUAAAAGCGGUGGAAAUUACAGAACUAGAGUGCGGUAGGGGCAAAACCAAUUCCUC